rnacentral:lncRNA from 1 species
UUUUUUUUAAACGUAGCACCCAAAAAAAUGACACGUGGAAAAAACAGAUAUUAAUUGUUAGAAAGGGGGCACAGAAACAGCCCCCGCGCCGCUCCCUCCCCGGGGCGACACGGGCGGCUCCCGCCUCCGCCUCCGCACCUCUCCCCUCCCGCCUCCUUCUCCCCCUCGCCGUUGCCGGUUGCCUCCGGCAGGCAAAGCCUGCGCGGAGCCGGCGGUGGCUGAGCAUCCUCUUGCUGCCGCUCGCUCGUGGGAUGGGGAUACGGCGUGUGGUCGGCGGCUGACCAGCGCUUGGCUCCGGGGCGGCGUCUCGGCUCGCGGUGGAGGAGGUCUCCGGCGUGCUGUGCCGGGAUCUGGUCGCGGCGGCGGGCGCGCCACGGGCGAGCGGUCACGGUCGUGGCGCCCGUACGGGCCCGAUCUGGACCUCACGAGAUGUGGCCGGCGCGGUCGGUGGUGCUGGGAUGGACGGAGGCUCGGCCCCCUGCUGCGCGUCCUGGUGGAGCCCUUGCUGCGUUCCUCCUGCUUGGUGCCGUGGUGGUGCCUGCUCGAGUUUCGGUUGACGGGCUGCGGAUCUGGCAGCUCAUCCGGCGAGUUGGGGUGGGGUGGCGGCCCUCCCUCCCUGCUAGGGAUCCUCUCUGGAUGUGCAGCGUGCGGUGGCCGCACGGUGGAGGUCUCCGGUUGUCGGGGCGGCAGGCGGACGACGCAGUUGGCGCGGAUCUGUUCGGAGGUUGCGAAGUGUGAAGGUGGUCAGAUCCAGCCGGAUUUGCCCUCGGUGGCUCGUUGGAGGGCUUGCUGAUGCAUGAUGUUUGGGGCUCGUGAGGUUGACCCGGGCGAAAGCUUGUCUCCGAUGUGUCCGGAGCCGGCGAUGGCGACGCUUUCAAGCGUCGUUUCCUUCUUGUUGGCAUCGUCGAGGUACUCUUAGUUUCAAUCUUCGCAGCUUUGGGGGAAACCCUAGAUCCAUGGGAUCGGACGAUGAUGGUGCUCUAGCAUCGUAUACCCUCUCGAGGGCUUCGUCUUUGGAGCUAGCAUCAUCAAGCGGGACCGAUGGAAGUUGGUGGUGUUUUGCGUCGAGGCUUCUGUGGCAAGGAUGAUCGGCGUGUGCAAUGUCGGAGACGCGGCAAUGGUUGCGGUAGUCGGCUCUUCUCCGGCGUGUUUGUGGGGUUACCUCGGGUUGUUUUGUUGCCGUGAAGUCGGAGCUGCAGCGGCGGGGCCCCUGUGGCAACGAUGACAGGCAGCAGGUGGUCUGUUCGGUGGUCUUCCAUGGCGCCAGCCUUGCAUAGUUCUCCUUUGAAGCUAUCUUUCAGAGUCGAAGCUGUGAUGUCCUUGUGCGGGUGGCUGAGUUUGGCGCGGGGUUUCUUGUGUUCCACACAGCCUCUACAGUGUGGGUUGGGCGACAUUUGUCUUCGGAGAAGUCGGAGUCGCUUUCUCGGAGAUUAGGGAGGGCGAUGACGCCUGUUGGGGAGAAGUGAUGACGAUGACACCGAUGGGUGAUGUUGACGAAACCCUCUAUAUGAGGUGUAUGUGGUAUUAUGUGUGUGUCGCUCAGCGGUUUGUUACGGUUUUCGUCCGGUUUUCCGUUUAUUAACCGGACAACUCUCUUCUGCUUUAUUAAUGAGAUGAGGCAAAGCUUUUGCCUCCAUUUCAAAAAAAUUGUUAGAAAGGGAAAAAUUGUAACAACUCUGAAUGCAAAACAAUUUGAUGUUCAUUACAGGGGAUAAAUGUGUGGCGACCGGUUUUUCCGGGUAUUAAAUCCCAGAAAAUGGCCCUUGUGCUCAUCAGCCCCAGGAUAACUGUUAGCUGAUGAGGCACCAACUUGAUACAGAAAUUCCAAGCAAAUACAAAAUAUGUAGCACAAGACCAUUCUGGUCUGUGGGUACAACAAAUGGUUUCUAGUGGUUGAUGGCGGAAGCGGGCCGUAAAUCAUCAGAGUCUAUGGGACUCCAUUUCCCACGGGAACAGCUGACCAGGUUAACUCCUAUCUUCGCGAGGCUGCUAUCACCGUUGCUUAGGUUCCGAGGCUGUCAUCGCGUCGCUCCUCUUCGCGCAAGAAAUCUGGCCAAGACAAUAGCCAGGGACAAACCAGUGAGUACUUUGAAUGUACUCGCAAACAUAAUGAACACGGGUAUAAUAUUGCAAUGAUGUGCUGAUAAUAUGAUAUGCUCAUGACGUCAGUCACAAAAGGUAAAUAAAUCUCUGAUGCACGUAAGUAGUUUAUUUAUGGGAAUGCAAUAUCAUGAUAAUAAUAAAAGGCACCGAUCGGGCGUCUGAAGCAACGCCCCACAUAAAGGGCCCUUUAAAAGAAAUGCCACAGUCGGGCGUCUGAGCGACACUACAUAAAGGGCUUUAAAAGAAAUGCCACAGUCGGGCGUCUGAGCGAUACCACAUAAAGGGCUUUAAAAGAAAUUCCACAGUCGGGCGUCUGAGCGACACCACAUAAAGGGCUUUAAAAGAAAUGCCACAGUCGGGCGUCUGAGCGACACCACAUAAAGGGCUUUAAAAGAAAUGCNNNNNNNNNNNNNNNNNNNNNNNNNNNNNNNNNNNNNNNNNNNNNNNNNNNNNNNNNNNNNNNNNNNNNNNNNNNNNNNNNNNNNNNNNNNNNNNNNNNNNNNNNNNNNNNNNNNNNNNNNNNNNNNNNNNNNNNNNNNNNNNNNNNNNNNNNNNNNNNNNNNNNNNNNNNNNNNNNNNNNNNNNNNNNNNNNNNNNNNNNNNNNNNNNNNNNNNNNNNNNNNNNNNNNNNNNNNNNNNCGACACCACAAAAAGGGCUUUAAAAGAAAUGCCACAGUCGGGCAUCUGAGCGACACCACAUAAAGGGCUUUAAAAGAAAUGCCACAGUCGGGCGUCUGAGCGACACCACAUAAAGGGCUUUAAAAGAAAUGCCACAGUCAGGCGUCUGAGCGACACCACAUAAAGGGCUUUAAAAGAAAUGCCACAGUCGGGCGUCUGAGCGACACCACAUAAAGGACUUUAAAAUAAACAAUCANNNNNNNNNNNNNNNNNNNNNNNNNNNNNNNNNNNNNNNNNNNNNNNNNNNNNNNNNNNNNNNNNNNNNNNNNNNNNNNNNNNNNNNNNNNNNNNNNNNNNNNNNNNNNNNNNNNNNNNNNNNNGUCGGGCGUCUGAGCGACACCACAUAAAGGGCUUUAAAAGAAAUGCCACAGUCGGGCGUCUGAGCGACACCACAUAAAGGGCUUUAAAAAAAUGCCACAGUCGGGCGUCUGAGCGACACCGCAUAAAGGGCUUUAAAAGAAACAAUCAUAGUGAAUAUCCAGGAGGUAGAACCGUCCCAGAGAUAUUCGAUAAUACCAAAAUUUCACGGCUUAGUCCACAACAAAAAUAAUACUCGUCAUUUUCACAUGUCACAAGUUGUAGUAUCAGUUCUGAUUUAAUAGUUUCACCUCCGAAGACCGACACUAAGACCGACACUCGACCCAUCCCAGACUGUAAUCCUUAACCAUGGACACGGCUAUUCGAAUAGGUUUAAUCUCUGCAGAGGGUGUACUCUUUACCCACGAGUAACGGAUUUCUUUAGUCCAUCGGGACUAAUUCCGUCUACGGUCUUUUUGUUGAAAACACACCUAACUUGCACACACCAGCUUAACUCACAUGUGUCUGGAAUCACCCAAGACACCUGUCAAGCAAACUCUAAGUGGGGAGGCUACAACCUCGCGUAGCAUGGGAUCAAAUUUAUAUUGCGCGCUCUAAGGGGUGGCCUCCCCUCUCGGUCUCAACCGGAGACACCCAUGCCCCCGGACCAGGUGGCCUGCUUACCAGCUACAACCGGUAUCUUCCACCCUGGCCUCUCUGUACGGUGUGUGCUAGGAAGAGGUUGACAACUUACUGAACCGUACUCUACUUGUUGUAGAGACGAGUGGUAGUACGAAACAAGUAUGAGGGUUACUGGAACAAGACUCGAUCUAGGGUCGACUCAGGAGGUUUAGGUAUUCCCUGCAUGAUUAGCAUAACGAAUAUAUUUCAACCAACAGAGUCACCGCUCAUAUUACCUUACCAUGCCAUACCAGACAUAACUGUCCCGAUGGAGACCGGCGACAAACUCAUGCCUACCCAAGGCAGAGUUUUCCCGGGUUCCUGCCGGUAUGCAUGCAAGGCACAUGAGGAUGAUUUUCAUCACAAGAGUGAUCCUUUCCAACAGCUUGGAAAUCACAAAUAUGCAUCCAUGCACAUGAUCAUCUCACAUGAAAUAACAAUACUCCAAAGUGAGGUGGUAUGAUAAACGUGUCAACGAACACCCAAAAAAAUAUCAUGCCGGGGUUCAGAAUGCUUGCUUUCAGGUCAUGGGAAGGCAGGGUGCAUUUCAAACUCUUGAAAUACUUCUCCUCUCUUCAAAAAUCCUAUUUUUGAAAAUAUAAAUGAAUUAACAUACAAAAUAAAAACAGCACAAAAGUUGUUUGAAAAAUUUCCAAAUAAAUCUUAAAAUAAACUAGACAGAAUUUGAGAGAUGUAGGAAAAAGAAUCAAUUCAUUUGGAGUUAUAUUUAAAAAGUUAUAGCCAGUCAAAGUUGUGGUCAAAUCUGUUUUUAAAAAGAAAAUAAAACAGAAAGAGAAAAACGAUUCGGACUGACCACGUCGAAGGCGUAUUCUAAAAAAUACGUUUCCAAUUAUCCUGCGUGGACCGUGCGUGGUCACUGACAGUGGGCCCGCCUGGCCCACUGGUCAGGUUUGACCAGUCCACGCGCGUGUCGCCUCCUCCGGCCGAAACAGAGGCGGAGCUCCGGUGAGGCUCGCCGGUGAAUGACGGCACCGUUCGGAAAACGGAGGCCAUCCACGUGCUCAGGGGAUCAAGACGGUUACUCCGGUGGUUGAUAUGAUCUUUGGGGUGGACGGAGUUGCCAACGGUGAGCUUCGCGGCGGACGGUGGUCGUCGGGAAAAGUGAUUUUUCCCCCGCAGUGGGUCUCGAUCAAAAUUGAGUAGGGGGAUGGAUUUACGAGGGGGAGAGGGAGUUCCUAGUGAAGAGAGUGGAGAGGGGGAGGCUCUGGUGGUGCCGGAAUGAUCGGGGCAGUGGCGGCGGCUGCAGUUGCCGGAGACGGGGAAGAAGACCUCCCCGGUUUGAUUGGCUGCCACGGGAGAGCUAGUGGAGCAUGCUGAGGCUGCUUAGCCAAUGGAACGUGCUCGGGGGCCUCCUUAUAUAGCGCAACGAGGUCGGUUUGCGGCGGCCGGGGAUAAGUUCGUCGGCGAACCACCUCCUUGUCGCGUUAGGGCGUCGUGGCGACGACGAUAGCUAGCCGACGGGCGAGGGGAUAAACUUGCGCUGCUCACAGGGGCAGGUGGCGAGCCGGGGUGGCUUGGGCGGCGCUGGCCUGAGUCAGGGCUGUCGGGCGGCCGUGGCGGCUAGUUCUCGGCUUGCCGGGGACGCGGCGAGGCUCUGCUUGGCGUGUUGCGGUGAGUGGGGAGCAUGCUGCGCGCAAGGGACACGGCGUGCCGGCUGCGGUCGGUCACGGGCUGGGGUGAGUGCGGGGCGUGACGCGGCGGCUCGGGCGCCGCUCGUGCAAUACGCACACUCUGGGCACGUCCAGUGCACGCACGGAAGGUGCUCGACACAAUGCUGUGGCACGCUACAGGUCACAGGUGAGGUUGGCAAGCAACAGGACUAGGUUGGAGAUAGAGGGAAACUCCAGGGACAAGGUGAUUUGGUUAGGUGGCCAAGUUCAUAAUGUAGACUUGAAAUCAUGCCAAAUCUGGCUAUGCACUCAGAGUGUUUGACGAAAUGCCACAAGUACCUAGGCUUUUCUUGGAGUGGCCAAAUUCUCCAGAUCAGUGUCUCCUUGGAUGCAUGAGAGGGUGGUGAGGUUAGUUGGUGGAAAGCACAAACUUGCUAGUGCAAGCUUUGCAGAACUUCAAAUCUGGACAGGAUGUGAAUGGCAUUAUUUCAUGAACCAAAAAUAUGCCAAUGGUUGCAUGCUCCUGGACUUAGGGAUUUAACAUGGAGGACUACAAGUAGGAGAAAUAAUCAAGGGCCAAAGAGCAAGCAAUAAUAUGGUUGCUGUACAAACCAUCAUGUUGGACCAGAAUGGAGAUGAGGUUGAUUCACUCAAAAUUUUCAAAGAACAUCCAUGGAUUUAUGCAUAUAAUGGAAUCAUAUGCUGCUACUGACAUCCCAUAAUUUUGGUGGAAGCUAGAAACAAAUAUUUAAAAGGGUUGCAGUGCAAAAAUGCCUACUAGACCAGAGAAGAAAAACAUGUGUAGCACUCAAAAUAUGCAAUGAAUGAACUAUAUUAUUGCAUAAAAGUGAUUUAGAGGCAUCACAUGACAUCUCCAAAUUUUGGUGGAAUUUUUAGUUAAGUUUACCAAAUGGUUGUAGUACAAAAAGAGCUCCAAACUAAAAACAAGUCAUUUUAAUGAAUAUAGCUCAGGGUGGAAUAAUUUAAUAAAUAAACCUACUGAUUAGGAAAUUGUUUUAAUGAGAUGGCAUAGAAGUUCAAUAUGUUUGGAAGGAUCCACUUGGGAAAAAUAAAUCCUUAAUAAUAAAAGAAAGGUUUUGAAAUCAACAGAAAUAUUCUUGCAGGCAAAAAUUUUAACUCUUGGCAAAAUUUUAAUAACCAAAAAUUUGGUUAAAUUUUUGGGGUGUUACAAAAUGGAAAAAUGUACUGCACACCAUUUCAGAAACAUUUAUCAGGGUAUAAAAAAUAAAUUGCAUAUCACAGGAGUCGACGCCAAGCACCUUCUACGUCGGCGAGCUAGCCGCCAUAGCUGCGUUGAAACUGUUGCUAUAGUGUGGACACGGGCGUGCAAAGGGCAGCCUAGGUGGCUUUGAAAAUAGCUGCAUCAUGGGCAAGAUGUAUGUACUGCAUCACGGGGCUGCGGGCGGCAGCAAAAAGAUGAGAAGACCGGGCCAAAGGGAGGCGGCGUCGUGCAUUGGCUGGUACGAGGGGGCCCGUACGAGCAGUUUGACCCGGGAAGGGCCAGCUGAAAAGAAGAACAGGAGUAGGGACUAGGGGCAGCAGAAAAGAACAAAGAUUAUAAUGGGUAAAGUCAAACAAAAAAAACUGCACCGGCCAACCAACGAUUCUCGUGAGUCCUCGAAUCCCGGGUUCAGAGCUUUCCUGGUCUUUCUUGUCGGGAUCCACUUGUACGUAUUGAUCAUAGGCGGGGAGGCUGGCCCGUGCUCGGAUUCACGAGUAGGCUUGGAAAAAUAUGCCCGGCGACUACCUUACACACGAGGGCGGUCGUUUGCUCUCCUGCUAAAAGCCCAGAUAGCAGCUGAAGCUCGACUGAAGCAGGGCCGAGGCCGAUGGUUCCUGCAAACACGCUUUCAAUUGGAACAGCGCCGACGUGCUGGCUUGCCCUGCUUGCACUAUGAUCUCCAGCCGGAUCCAUCACCGUUGAUACAAAUGAAUCCUGGACUGCGUUGUUGGGUUCAGAGAAGGUGGAGGCGCUGGCUAAGGGGAGAAAUCUUAUGACUGAAAAAUCUUAGAAGCAAUAACAAUAAAGCUGGAACAUGGCUUCAUCUAUUGCUAUCGGAUGGACGGUGCGGGUUCAGAGGGCGGGGCAGUUGGACGGUGCUGCAUACGUUACUACACAAUUACUCACGCACGUUGUUUCGGUGGCCGGAUUAAACACAAAACCCCUGCUGCUACAUAAAGAGCCACCCAAAACGGUGCGGAACCUUGCAUAAUGAGUUGAACAAUGCCCAAAAUGUCAGUUUUGAACUUCACCACGGGGCAACGCAGCAAGGAACUCUUGCUAAAAAUGAGUUAAAGUGGACCCUGCAGCUGUUUACCGAAAAGGUUUACUGUCGCACUCUGCAGCACAAGAAAGGAGCCGCUGCUAUCGCCCUAAAAUACACUGACAUGUCAGGCGCUAGGUUUCCAAACAGGGUGUGCACUAGCAUAGAGGUAGGUUUUAGAACUUUCCGCUUCGGUCAUGGCGAAAAUCAACAAAUCAGGAAUUCAGAACCUUAUCUUCAGAAGGUGCGAAUCUUGAGGAGAGCCGACGGUUCCGAUAGCACCCACUCUAGUGGCUGUUGAUAGCAAAUCCAUGUUCUAUAUAAAUAUAAAUAUAAAUAUAUAAAUAUAUAUAUAUAUUCAACUGAAGACAAACGACGGAAAACUGAGGAAUUUCAAAAACAAAUUGAAGAUUUUCAACUUUGAGUGGUGGCGUAGCCCACCGUAUAAGAAAGCUGAUUCCAGACACCGCGUACAAUUGUCGUAGGGCUCUGAGAAUCAAUUUCUUCAUUAAUUUCUUCACACUUAGAGGGUUAGUCUUCAUUGAUUGAAGAAAAACGUUACUUCGUGUGUUGCGCAUCUAAGUCAUUAAGUCAGCAUAAGUGUUAGGAUGAGUGUCCGUUUCAGAGAACAUUCGAAGAUUCUAGGAUAUUUAGCUCACACCGCAACUUGCUAAAUCUCUUCUCAUCCAAGGGCUUAGUGAAAAUAUCGGCCAGCUGAUCUUCAGUUCUUGCAUGGCAGAUGGAGAUAUCGCCCUUCAACACAUGAUCACGAAGAAAAUGAUGACGAAUCUGGAUGUGCUUUGUCUUUGAGUGCUGAACUGGGUUGCGAGAAAUCUUGAUUGCACUCUCAUUGUCGCAGUAGAGAGGCACAUUCUUCACGUUGAUGCCAUAGUCCUUAAGAGUUUGCUUCAUCCAUAGUAAUUGAGCACAACAUGAUCCAGCAGCAAUGUACUCAGCUUCUGCAGUGGAGAGAGAUACGCAGUUCUGUUUCUUCGAGGACCAAUAGACCAAAGAUUGUCCGAGGAAAUGGCAAGUGCCUGACGUUGACUUGCGGUCCACGCGAUCGCCAGCAUAGUCAGAGUCUGAGUAUCCAACGAGAUCAAAUGAAGAGCCCUUGGGAUACCAUAAUCCAAGUGUUGGUGUGUGAGCUAGAUAUCGAAGAAUAUGCUUCACAGCCUUAUGGUGUGAUUCCUUUGGUGUAGCUUGAAAUCGGGCACACAUGCAAACACUAAGCAUAAUAUCUGGCCUAGAUGCACAUAGGUACAAUAAAGAGCCAAUCAUGGAGCGGUAUACCUUUUGAUCGAAGUCUUGACCAUUUUCAUCAGUGCAUAGAUGGUCAUUUGUGGGCAUUGGAAUUUUGACCCCUUUGCAAUCUUGCAUGCCGAAUUUUCUCAAUACUUCUUUGAGGUAUUUCUCCUGCGAUAUGAAUAUACCAUUGCGCUAUUGACGAAUUUGAAGACCUAAAAAGAAUUUCAAUUCUCCCAUCAUAGACAUUUGAUAUUCUUCACUCAUCAUAUAGGCAAAUUCAUCACUAUAACGUUGGUCAGUACAGCCAAAGAUAAUAUCAUCAACAUAUAUUUGGCACACAAACAAUUCACCAUCAUAAGAUUUAGUGAAAAGAGUUGGGUCGAGUGAACCGGGUUUGAAGCCUUUCUUCAUGAAGAAUUCCUUCAAAGUGUCAUACCAUGCCCGAGGGGCUUGCUUGAGGCCAUACAGGGCCUUGUUGAGUCUGAAGACUUUGUCGGGAUUCUUUGGAUCUUCAAAAUCUGGGGGUUGAGCAACAUAUACUUCUUCCUCAAGCUUACCAUUGAGGAAUGCACUUUUCACAUCCAUUUGUUGUAAGAUAGUAUCAUGAUGGUUAGCGUAAGCAAGUAAUAUGCGAAUAGCCUCAAGUCUAGCAAUAGGUGCAAAAGUUUCAUCGAAAUCAAUUCCUUCAACCUGUGUGUAGCCUUGAGCUACAAGCCGUGCCUUAUUCCUCACCACAAGGCCAUUUUCAUCUUGCUUGUUGCGGUAGAUCCACUUUGUGCCAAUGAUGUUGUGCUUGCGAGGAUCUAGAUGUUUGACCAGUUCCCAGACAUUGUUGAGCUCGAACUGAUAUAAUUCUUCUUCCAUAGCCUGAAUCCACUCAGACUCCAGAAAUGCUUCAUCUACCUUAGUGGGCUCUGAGAUAGAGACAAAAGCAAAGUGCCCACAAAAGUUAGAUAAAUGUGAAGAUUUUGAGCGAGUGAGAGGACCUGGUGCUUCAAUGUCAUCAAUGCUUUUCUCAAUUUGUACUUCGUUAGCAAUGCAAGGAUGAGUGGGUUGUCUUUGAGGAAUUUGAUUAGCAUUUCCUUCAAGAGCAUUUUCUUCAGCACCAUUUUCUUCAGGUGCGCCAGCUCGGUAAUCAUCAUGAUCAGGAAUGAAUUCUUCAGUAGAUUCUUCGGUAGGAAUGACAUCCUCAGUAGCCUUGAACUUGAUAGAAUCUUCAGGUGCAGUUCAUCUAUCACAGAAGGUAGGUGCUCUCUUUGCGAGCCAUUAGUUUCAUCGAACCGCACAUCUACAGUUUCAACAACUUUGUGAAGAACGAUGUUGAAGACUCUGUAGGUGUGCGAGUCCUUUCCAUAAUCAAGCAUAAAACCUUCAUGUGGUUUCAGUGAGAAUUUUGAAGUGUGAUGAGGAUCUAUAAUCCAACAUUUAGCACCGAAGACUUUGAAAUAACUCACAUUUGGCUUUUUGUUAGUGAGGAGUUCAUAAGCAGUUUUCUUGAAGAAUUUGUGAAGAUAUACCCUGUUGAUGACAUGGCACGCAGUAUCAAUUGCCUCAAUCCAGAAGCGACGAGGCGUCUUGUAUUCAUCAAGCAUAGUGCGAGCCAUUUCAGCAAGGGUUCUGUUCUUGCGCUCCACGACGCCAUUCUGCUGAGGAGUAUAAGGAGCAGAUAAUUCAUGAGUAAUACCAAGUUCAUCAAGAUAGCCAUCUAGACCAGAAUUCUUGAACUCGGUCCCAUUGUCAGUUCUGAUGUGCUUGAUCUUCACACCAAAGUUGGUUGAAGCCCUCGAGGAAAAUCAUUUGAAGACUUCCUGCACUUCAUGUUUGUAAGUGACAAUGUGCACCCAUGUGUAACGAGAAUAACCAUCAACAAUAACAAAUCCAUAUUGAGAUGCAUCAUUCAGAAUUGCAGAAUAGUGGUUAGGACCAAAGAGAUCCAUGUGAAGCAAUUCAAAUGGUCGAGUGGUAGUCAUGACAAUCUUCGCUGGAUGCUUGGCCUUUGUCAUCUUUCCAGCUUCACAAGCUCCGCAUAAGUGAUCCUUGAGGAAUUUGACAUUCUCAAUGCCAAUGACAUGCUUCUUCUUCACAAGCGUGUGCAGAUUCCUCAUGCCAACAUGACCAAGUCGUCGAUGCCAUAGCCAGCCUUCUGAAGCUUUUGCAAGUAAGCACACGGCUGGUUGUGGUCCUAUAGAGAAAUUAACAAUAUACAUGUCUCCUCUCCUAAAGCCUUCGAAGAUUUUGGAAUGGUCAGCUUCCAUGAUCACAACACAACGAUAUCUUCCAAAGACAAUAACCAUAUCAAGAUCAUAAAGCAUUGAGACAGACAUGAGGUUGUAUCCUAAGGACUCGACAAGCAUGACUUUGUCCAUGUGUCGAUCCUUUGAGAUCGCAACCUUACCUAGACCCAAUACCUGACUUUUGUCUUUGUCAGCGAAGAUGAUAUGCUUCAGAUGUGACGGUGAUAAUGGAGCAUCCAUCAAUAGAUUCUUGGCAUCCGUCAUGUGAUUUGUACAUCCACUAUCAAGGACCCACUCGUUUGCUUUGGACUGAUCAUCCUGCAGAUGAAUUAGUGCAACUUACGAACUCAUAUACUUCAUCAGGGAAGAAUAUGACAUCAAUAUCAUCAGUUCAAUUUCAUCAAGCAAUAGCACAGAUAAAUCAGUAUGAGGACGUGAGAAAUGAAAAUUCAUUUCUUCAUGCCUGUGUCCUUUCAGGCACUGUUCAGGUCUCCAGCAAAUUUUUCAGAUGUUUUGAGCACAUUUGGAGACCUGACCCUGCAUAAGAGAUUAGUUCUUUUUCUUCACCACCCACAUCUGAAGGGGUGGCAAAGAAUUCAUCACUCUGCGAGCACCAUAUGAGAAAGGUGGCAUAGAAGCUAGUCCGCUUCGUUUCACAUAAGAGGGGUUAGGGUAAGCAUAUGAAUAAGCAGAGAAAUUCUUGGAUGACUUAUGAACAUAAUGAUUUGAAGAAUAACGUUCAUAUUCAUAGCCCUUAGCUUUACCCUGCGAAACAGAAGGGUUAGCACGAUGAUGAUCAUAUGAGGACUUUGAUCCGUUUGAGGAAGUUGAUCCAUGUGAAGAAUUAGGUCCAUAUGAAGAAUUAGAUCUGGGGUUCCUGUUCUUCACAGGUGGUGUCAUGAGGACAUUCACCUGAAGACUUUCAAGAUAACUUUUGGGAACCCAUAUUUUCUUCAUAGGGGAACCGUUCCUGCAGUUAGUGCCAACAUAUCUAUCAAAUACUUCACCAUUCUGAUUUUUGAACAGUUUAUAGUUGGAGUCAAAUGACUCAUCAGAAGAAUGAGGAGAUUCACAUGUAAAGCCAGCUAAGUUGGAUGGAUCAACUGGAGGUCCCUUUGCAGCAACCCAUGAGGUUUUGGGGUACUUCUCGGGCUUCCAAUAUGUUCCAUCAGCAUUGAGUUUCCUCUCAAAGGCAAUACCCUCUUUCCUAGGGUUUCUGUUUAGGAUAUGCUUUUUGAGCACAUCACAAAGAAUCUGAUGCCCUUUGAGGCUUUUGUACAUGCCUGUUGUGUACAAUUCCUUCAGCCCUGCAUCAUUAGUAGUAACUAGCAAUGUCCUCAGAUGAGGAAUUAGUGAUAGCAGAGACAGGUGAAGAAUUUGUAAUAUUUGAAGCAUUUGAACAUUCAGGUGAAGAAUUAGCAGAUUCAUGUUCAAUGCACUUUAGACAUGGAGGAACAAAUUCUUCCUGAGUAGCGCUGAUUUGUUGAGCAAGUAAUGAAUCGCGCUGCUUCUGAAGAUCUUCAUACCUCACUCUUAGCUUCUCAAGAUCUUGCUUUCUUUGAAGAAAUUCAAGAGAAAGCUUCUCGUGAUCAGAUAAGAGAGUGUUAUGAUGACCUUGAAGGUCGUCAAACUUGGAAUGGAGUCCCUGAAGACUUUCAGCCAAAGCUUUUGACUGAUCCAUUUCUUCACCCAACAUAUCAUCGCUCUUAUUUAGCAUGUAUUGAACUUUUUCCAAAGCUCUUUGUUGUUUAGUGGCAAGGGAAGCAAGUUUAACAUAGCUAGGUCCAAAUUCAUCACCUGAUUCAUCAUCACUAGAUUCGAAAAGGUAGCAUUCAGUUACCUUGGCACCCCCUGCCAUGAGGCACGGUGAAGAGGAUGAUGAUUCGGGUGCGAAAGUCAUCUCUUUGAGAGAGUCCUUGUAAUCCUCAAACCAAGCAUCAUGUCGAGUACGAUGACCUUCAUAGACCUCAGAAAGCCGGUCCCAGAUUAGCUUCGCGUGAUUGAGGUGCAUAACGUUCCUGAACUGAUUUCAGGACAGACAGGAGCAGAUGACAUCCUUUGUCGUGAGGUUCAGUAGUGUGUACUUGUGAAUGUCAUCAGCCUCCGCCGUCUUGCAUAGAUCGGUAAGACCAAUCUCAGUGACGGUCCACAGUUUGCUGUCAAUAGCCAUGAGUCUCUUCUUCAUCAUGGCCUUCCACCGAGGAUACUCAUGACCGUCGAAGAUGGGGCAGGAAACGUUCCUCGAUCCUGCAGUCGGCAUAACUAGAACCCCAAGUGGUUAAACCAAAAUCACACAGAACAAGGGAGUACCUUGUUCUGAUACCAACUGAAAGUGCGUUAUAUCGACUAAAGGGGGGAUGAAUAGGCGAUUUUUAUGAAUUCUUCACUAAGGAAUUUGCUGGUGAGGAAAUUCCUAAAUGAAGAACUACUUGCAGCGGAAUAAGUACUCAGAAAGGAACAUAACAGAACACAAGCAUAGUCAUCAUGAUGAAAUGAAGACACGCAUAGAGUACAGAAAGCAUAAACACAAGAUAACACAAGGAAGAAGACGGACAAACUGAAGAAAUAGAACUGAGGAAAUUGAGAAAGUCUUCAAACAGGUAUGAACAGGCACACAACAACACACAUGAGGAAUUUAAAGAGUUGAGGAAAUAGAACCAGUAAGCUCGGUGAAGACAAUGAUUUGGUAGAUCAGUUCCAACUGCUGUCUCAGUUGUACAUCUGGUUGGAGCGGCCGAGUAUUUAAACUCGAGGACACACAGUCCUCACUGUAUUCUCCUUGAGCUAAGGUCACACAGACCUCGCCCAAUCACUCAUGCUAAGUCUCCAGGUGACUUCCGAACCUUCACAAACUCGGUCACUCGGCGAUCCACAAUUCCUCUUGGAUGCUCUAGACCUUGACGCCUAACCGUCUGGAAGAAGCACGGUCUUCAAAGGAAACAAGCGUCAGAUCUAUGCAGGAUCAAUCUCUUCAGUGAUGCUCAAUCACUUGGGUUUUGUAGGUUUAGGUUUGGGAUUUCCUCACUUGAUAAUUUUCACUCAAAGUCUUCGGAGAAUGGGUUGCUCUCAAAUGACAAGUGUCAGUUUCUCUCGGAGCAGCCAACCAACUAGUGGUUGUAGGGGGCGACUAUUUAUAGCCGGGGAGCAGCCCGACAUGAUAAGACAUAAAUGCCCUUGUCUGAUAUGACCGUUAGGUGGGUAGAUAUUUUGGGACAGCUGAUGCAUAGCACAGCAACAGUCGGAAUAUUUGACUCUCAAAUACCUCAGGGCUAUCAUGUUCCUCACUUGGUAGGCAAUCCGCACUGGCGAAUUCCUAACUAUUCAAUCAGAACAAAUUCCUCAUAGACCAGAAGAACUUCGUCUCUGUCACUGAAGAAUAUGGCUGAACUGUGCGAGAUUUCCAAUGGCUUCACUCGAAAGGAUUGGUAGGUGUAGGAUUUUGAGUUGAGCAUCACAUGGAAAUUUUUCCUUAGUAUUUCCUCGACCCCCUUUAACAGUACGGUGUUUCCUAUGACUCAAGAAAGAGAAAAUGAAACUAGGAAAACAAAAGUCUUCACACUUCAUGUUCCUUGAAUGAUUACCAAGCCUUCAAGGUCACACCAAUUUCUUCACUUUCAAAGUCUUCAGAAAGUCUACAGAAAUCCAAAGUCUUCAGUCGAAGAACUUCAUUUUUAGGGGUCGACUUUCUCUGUAAAUAUCAAACUCAUCAUAGACUUAUAGACAUGUGUACACUCACAAACGCAUUAGUCCCUUAACCUAUAAGUCUUCAAUACACCAAAAUCACUAAGGGGCACUAGAUGCACUUACAAUGUGAAACACAACAAAGUAUAAAAGUGAGUUGCAACCUAGCUCUCAGUACACAUAGAAGCUUUCCUUCAACAAGAGACAUCCAAAAACCAUCCCACUUCUACCCUACUCUAAAUUAACCAACUAACUAAUGAGACUAUGAACCUAUGAUAAUGGAAAGGCUGAAUGCAAAAUCUCUUAUAAGAUGUGUGGAUAUUACAUACGGGCAUUAAGAGCAUUUGCUCCCGUAUUAAUCCUCUAAGUAGCAGCCCUGCACCAGUACACAAAAACAGCAGCUAAGCUAUUUGUAUUAACGCUAUCAUCAUAACCAGGUCAUUAACAAAGCUAACUAUAUUUAACAUAAAGAUAAACAGAUCAAGAAACCAUCCAUCAGCAGCAAUUAGCAACCUCAUGUAACAUAACUACAGAUAUCCAGGCUUACUAGAUUGAUUUAGAACCAAAGCCUGAUAAAGUAAAAGGUCAACCUUGAUAACAUAAACAAAAAGACUUCAGAGAUUGAUUAUUUUGCACAACCCAAUGAAAGAAGUUGCUGAAUGAAAAAAAAGAAGCACAAAUCACUCAAUUUCCUCAGGAUUAUGUAGUGAGGUACAUGAUGUCAGUAUACAAUGGCAAGUUCUACUUCAAGUUAACUAAGGAAUCAGCUUGAACUACUUCAAAUAUGUUACAGGCAGAGAAAUGAGUGUGAGAAUCUAGGUCAUUAAAAAUUAGAAGCUUUAUUUCAUCAAGAAAAUCAGAGACACAGGGCCUUCCUCCACUUCCUCCACCUAUUCUCUCAGGCGCCUGCAGGAUGUGUGGAUGGUACCUGGGGAGCAGCACAAUUGCGAAGCACUAAGAGCAUUUGUUUACAUAUAAUCAAUCAUCCAAGUAGCAGUGCUGCACCGAUAUUCCUAAAGACCUCUGUUCAGCAAUUCACACACAUAGUUCAAACCAAAUAUCACUUUAAUCAGUAAUACCAAUAGACAGCAGGUCCUGUUUCAAAGGGUUACAGGUUUAUGACAUGUAUUUAAGAUACAAAUACAUAGUUACGCGACACUUUCAAAGUUGACAGACAUUACAUCAAGGGUCACACAGCUCAUUUCACAGAACAGAGCAGGCCACACACUGCACAUGAAUAGCCAGGCACAGAUACCUCAGUAACGGUACUUGGUGGAGUAAUCCUUGGGAGCAAUCACCAGACCACGGCCCUUACGAGCUCCUCUGUAGACGGUCUCCACAAUGUCAACAAACUCUUGCUUGUCUUUCAUUGCCCAGUUGAUCUUGUUGUUGUUUCCUGUCCCGAGAUCAAUCAUGAUGUGCUUGUUGCGGAAGAAGAACAUCACCGUCGACGGGUCGUACAGCUCGUACAUGGUGUUGAAGUCCGGAACCUCCGUGAUGUCGACGAGGUAGAUCACCGCAAAGUUCUUUAUGGUCUCAGCCACCCCUGACAGCACCUCGUCCAUCUAAACAUGAACAAGCAGAUAGUCAGAAACUCAUAAUGAAGUCAACAACAUACAACAACCAUGCUAGAUUGAUGUAGAACCAAAGGCUAAUAAAAAAAGUUAAACUACAAGUUUGCAAUCAAUAAUAUAAAACAAUUGCCCGUCAAUAAAAGAAAAGCACACAUCGCUUAACUUCCUGAGUAUAAUGGCUAGCUCUACUUCAACAGUUCAACUCAAUCAAGCAACCAGUAGUGAACUACUCCAAAUAUAUAUGUGAAACGCAGCAAAAUAUAGAGGUGAGUUCUAACCUAGCUCUCAGUACACAUAGAAGCUUUACUUCAACAACCAAAAAUCCUCCAACUUCUACCCUACUCCAAAUCGACCAACUAGCUUCUGACGGUAUGAGCUUAUGAUAAUGGAAAGGCCGAAUGCAAAAUCACUUGUAGGAUGUGUGGAUAGUACAUACGGAGAAUUAAAAGCAUUUGCUCCCAUAUUAAUCAGCUAUGUAGCAGCCCUGCACCAGUACACCAAAACAGCAGUUAAGCUAUUUGUAUUGACACCAUCAAUCAUAACCAGAUCAUUAACAAAGCUAAUAUAAAGACAAAUAGAUCAAGGAAGCACUCCAAAGUGCAAGAGAUCAUCCAUAAGCAGCAAUAGCAACCACAUACAACAUAACUACAGAUAUCCAGAUUUACUAGAUUGAUUUAGAACCAAAGCCUAACAAAAUUAGAAGGUCAAAACUGCAACCAACAACAUAAAUAAAGAAGACUUCAGAGAUGGAUUAGUUUGAACAACCAUCAAAGAAGUUGCUGAAUGAAAGAAAAGCACAAAUCACACGAUUUCCUCAGGGUUAUGUGGAGGUACAUGAUGUCAGUACACAAUGGCUAGUUCUACUUCCAACUUAACCAAAGAAGCAGCUUGAACUACUCCUAAUAUGUUACAGGCAGAAAAAUAUAGAUUGUGGGUAACUAUCUAUCUAGCUCAUUAAAAAUUAGAAGCUCUAUUUCAAGAAAAACAGAGGCGUGUGACUUGCUCCACUUGUGCUACAGAUCCAAACUAACCGCCUAUCCUCUCAGGCAAUGGAAAGGUGCCAGCAGGGUGCGUGGAUACUACCUGGGGAGCAGCACAAUUACCAAGUACUAAGAGCCAUUUGUUUACAUACUAUAUGAACCAUCCAAGCAGCAGUGCUGCCCUGAGAUUCCUAAAGACCAAGCUCAGAUAUUUGUAUUACAACACAUGUUGCAACUAGUCCUUACCAGAGCUUACUCCUGCUGUUAACAUGAGGAUGAACUGCUCACACAAGCUAAUUAGCGAAAUUGUCACACAAAUCAGCAUGAAGGAGAAUUCCUAAGAAAAAAAUCAUUAUUUCCUUCCGCCUCAUGACCCCUAAAACUAAAUCUAGCCUGGUCUAUGUGCGCCAUCUCUACGGCGAAUCCCCGCCCAAUUUCGGAUACGAAUCCGGUGUCCGGACACCCCAGACCGAACGGCCUCAAACAAUCAAACCAAGCAGUUGGAUCGAGAGAGAAUCAAGAAGUUAGGGUUUCGUUGGGGGGUGGGAACCGUACCUGCAUGCAUGUCUCGUCCCAGUCGUGGCCGAAGCGUAUCAUGACCAGCCGCUCCUCCUCGGCGAGGAUGGCCUGGUCCACCGCCCAGCCGGAGUGCAGGUGCGGGAGUAGGUAGGACAUCUCCGCCCCUCGCCGAGAGUCGAGUCGCCGCCGCCGGAGAGAAUAAUGUGGAGACGAACUGCCGAGGUGAAUCAGCGGCGUGCGCUGGUGCUGGUCGCCUGGGCCUGGUUAAAAUAGGGCGGCCUGGCGGAGGUGCCAACUAAUCCGAGUCGGCCUGCUACCCCGAGUCGGCCUUGAGGCGGUCCUAUUUCAAAGGAAAGUCACUGCUGGCCUGCUAGCCGAGUCGGCCUCGAGGCGGUCCUAUUUAGUUGGAUCGGGAGUUGCUCAAAACAAAAAAAAUUAGUUGGAUCGGGAGUUUUUUCCAUUUCCGAGAAAACUUCUAAUUACCGCUCAAAAAAAACGAGAGAACUUCUAAUUUCCUCAAAAAAAAGUUGCUAAAAAUCAUAUGAAUAUCCUUGAAUCAAAGGAGCAGUGAAGAAAUAUUUUGAGGGAGGGCUUCGAUGAGAUUCUUUUAGCAUUUUGCACUCCCAAACACUCAUAUUUUUGCCUUGCCCCACCCCCACCCCACCCCACCCACCAGCAGUUUCUACCUAGCUCCGCCAGUGCAAAGGAGCCCUUAGACAUGAUGGUUGAGAAGUGCAGCUUGUAUGCCCCUCAGUGCAUCUCGGGACAAUUGCACACUUAGAAGUUGCAGCACAACACAAUACCGUUCGAUCCGUCUGGUGCAAAUCACACGCUUGGACAUACUGAUAAUUGUAACGCCCCGGAUGCAGCGACACUCGGAGAAGCGCCGAGACCAUGCCAAGGCUAAGCAUGCAGCAACAAAUAAUAAGAAAAGGAGAGCAAACUCAAGGUGCUAAUUGAUGAAACUUAAGAAAGUGUGUUACCUGAUGAAACUGAAGAAUGUGUUUUACCUGAUGAAACUGGAGAAAGUGCAGGCAACACUUGUGCGGGAAAAGGUCACUGAAUCCAAAGAGAAAGAACAAGAUGGCGGGCCCCGCAAGUCAGGGAGACCACCAUUCCAUCCAAGUGAUACGCCGGCGAGGAAUGGAUCGCAUACAGACAGUGGGCCAAUGUUGUAAGUGUGUGCAAGUUGUAACAUACUCCCUCCGUUUCAAAUUACUCGUCGCUGAAAUGGAUGUAUCUAGAACUAAAAUACAUCUAGAUACAUCUAUAUGUGCGACGAGUAAUUCGGAACGGAGGGAGUAGAUGUCUUCGAUCCAUCUAUUAUCGGCAUCCGGUUGGAUCACGAAACUGAACCGAAGGACCCUGACGAGGGAGGCUCCUCCUCCUCUCUCUCUUGAAUCCCUCCUCCGAGUUGUUCCUGUUCGGAAUUGUUCCUAGUGAUCGAGAGAAUUGUUCCCUGUAAUUGAGAGAACUGCUUCUGGGAUCUAAACAACAAUAAUCUGGAAGCGGCGAUGGAGGACAAGCAUGUGUACACCAGAACCAGAUGGAAUUUUUAGUUUUAAAAAAAGGACCAGAUGGAAUUUUUAGUCUCCAGGUUUUGUUAGCCUGCUUGCCAUUAGCACCUUGAGGUGCUACAUCAUUUUGUCCCGUUUUACUUGAGUGUUUGAUCAUUCGCCCUCGCUUAUGUCAAUGAAAGGUAGCCUCGAGCCCCACCGGUCACUCUCACGGGGAGGACAGAUUAUCAGGGGGAAAUAAAACGGGCAAAUGAUCAAAUUUUCCCGCAAAUAAACUGCAUCUUCUGAAUGUUGGGUGAUUUUAAUAUUGAUGCUUCUCGUCUCAUAGUCUUAAGCUCUUAGUUUUGUACUUCUAUUCAGGCCUUGACCUUUGCUUCACUUUCAUGGCACUUCUGAUCUCACGGUUUCCUCAAGUCAUGGUUGAGUGCAUACGUCCGGUACUCCGGUCCUCUUUGAACCUACACGAGUUUGUUCUCAGAAGGCCUCACAUGCCUUAAACAUGUACAACAUCCGUUUACAAAUAAGAUUGACAAGAAAAAACCAAAUACUUUUGUAGCUCAUCAUUUAUUGGCAAAUAUAGAGAAGUUAAUUUACCAGCUACUUGUUUCAUGGCUUUAAUUUGAGCUCCCGUGCAAAAUUGCACGCAACACCUCGGAUAAAAAGCACGGCCGAGUCACAUGCAGGGAAACUUGCAUGUGUGGUUCUUGACACUGUAAUGAGAGAAUUAUAGAAGUUAUCAAAAACCAGGGAAGAAAAGCUAAUCCUCUAGAAAGUACGGUAGUAGCAUCUAAAUGUGCAAAUGUUGUGGCGGAGCAGGGUCGAUCAAAUCAAGAGAAGGGGUGUGAUGAUUGAGGUUUUGAAUAAGACAACCUUUGCAUUUUGGAUUUGGAUCUUUUUCGCAUUUCAAAAUAAUGAAGAAGUCAAAUAAGAGGUGUUAAGUUUUUUAUCAUUUUGGCAUCGAGCUAUUUUGCCGCUCAGGGUUUUAUUUGAAAUAAAAAUCGAAAUGCCUCAACUUGAUAAAUUGACAGGCUUUGACAGGGUUCUGGGUAGUGACCCAAACCGAUACCAAUAGGGAUGAGGGAAGGCUUACUUAUUGAUUUCACAAUUUCCCUAAAAAUAAUAAAUUCACAAUUGAUUAUAUUCCCCAAUUCAUAACUAGGAAAGUAAGAGGUUAGAAAUCUUGGUAUCCAAAGGUCCCUAAAGGACAUUCAUUUUUUGCUCAUGUUGGAUAUUACAUCAUGGACUACCUACAGACUGAAAUGAGGAACAAACACAGUAAAACGUGUGUAUAUGCAUCCAAUUCAGAAAAAAAAAAGUUGCACUAGAACAUAUUACAUUUGCACCCGCAAAAAAAAAGAACAUAUUAUAUUUGUGAAUAGAGUGAGUACUCAGUUUGCAAUGAGCUGGCACACACCAGUAAUGGCAACUCUAAAGGAACUCCAACAGACAUGCCAAAACACGCUGUGCUUCAGAAACAAUCAGGACACCGCUAUAUAUAGCACUAUAAAUCAUAGACAAAGCAGCAGAUACAACAACUGACGGAUUUCCUUACAGGCACACAACUAUCUGCCUAAGCAAGUGAUACAAACAAAAAUAUUCGGCAGGCGCCAGAGUGCCUAGAGAAAUUGAAUAUCAGGUGUAAGCAAUCAGAAAACUGACAAGCGUCAAACUUUGAAGGAUCAACAUUGCCCUACGUUCUGGAGGCCUCAGUACUAACUCUUCCUGUGUAAAACUCUGGCACGGAAUAGAAUGGACUGGCGAGAAUCAGACUAGGAUGCAGCAGAUAUAAGCUGGGCCUUUUUCUGUCUGACAAAAUUUUGGACAAAUAUCUCCCCUGCGCGGUAAGAGGACCGGACCUGAAAAAGUCCAAGAAUACAAAAGUGAGUUCCUGUAGUUUGCUAACAGCAGCAACCACAAAACUGCAUAACCACCAAUAACUAACAAGACAAGUGCUAGCUUUUUCUUUUGUGUGGUUUCACAAGCUGGAUAGCAAAGAGGCAUGUUUUAUCGAGGAUGCAAAACAACAACAGUUUCCCUGUCUGGGUGAGUGGGCAUUGGUAAAAGUUUUGUCUUCUUUGUAUAAACACUGGCAUUCCUUGUCUCGACUAUUAUUAUCUAAAAGCAUAACCAGCUAUAUGUAAUGCUUACCAGAGGUCCACUAGCAACAUACACAAAUCCCAAAGAUUCUCCAUACUCCUUCCAGAAAUCAAACUUCUCAGGAGUCACAUAUUCUCUGACUCUCAAAUGUCUUUCUGUUGGCUGUAUAAUCAAGGAGAUAUGGUUGUUACAGCAUUUACAAAGGCAGCUGGGUAAUAUAAACUGAAAGGUGCACUGUAAGUCGAUAAAUAUUCUCCUCAAAUAACAGGGCUAAACAUCAAACCUGUAAGUAUUGUCCCAAGGUCAGAAUGUCAACGUCGAUGGCCCUCAAGUCAGCCAUGGUUUGUUUUAUCUCCUCGUCUGUCUCACCCAGACCAAGCAUGAUCGAGGACUUCGUUACCAUACCCUUUUUGCAAGCCUUUGCUUGCUUCAGAACCCCUAAGCUCUGAUCAUAUCUGUAGAGAUAACAGAUUGGAAAUAAGGUAGCAGUUGCAUCGCCAGAUGCAAAUAUGACAUCAGUGAUUUCCCUUCUGUAACUGCUUCUAAAAUUAUCAGUGAAGAUGCAGGUUUUGAAAUUACAAAUGUCAUGUUACCAAAUCAUUAGAGUACUGUAAAUGAGUGUGACGAACUCAGAGGAGGGCAUUGAUGAUAUAGCGCUUUAGAGGACUCUCCUAGUUAGUAUGCACAAUGGUGGGAGCACAAUAGACUGAGCAACAUACAAAAGAAGUCAGGGAAUCUUAUUACCCUGCUCGGGGAUCUCUAACUAUUCUCUGCAUACUCCUCACAGUUUCGAUGUUGUGCGCAUACACAUCUAGGCCAGAGUUUGCCAGAGACGCAACUGCCUCCAGGUCGCCUCGAAAAUCUGAAGUUAGACACUCCACCAGUAUCGUAGGCUUCAACUCCUGAACAGAAGACCCAAAACUAUCACAUGGUAGAUUCACUAACUUAAUCAGCAAGCUAAGGCGACAGGGACAAACCUUGAGAGCCCUGACUGUUUCGGCGAAAUGGCCACUUCCACCAUCAGGGAUGUCAUCUCUGUCGACACUUGUCAGCACAACAUAGUCCACUCUGCAAAGAAACACCGUUUAUCAGAUAUAUUCAUCACACCAUCUUAAGUUCUUAGCAUGCCGAUGAUUGUCAGUGAUCGUACCCCCAACUCGCAAUUGCGAUGGACGUUUUCAGAGGCUCGAGGGCGUCGGGCGGUGGGGGCUUGUUACUGGUCUUGACGGCGCAGAACCGACAGCCCCGGGUGCAGGUGUCGCCGAGGAGCAUGAUGGUGGCGGUGGCGAUGCCGUCCCCUUCCCCGCCGGCGCCGCCGCCUCCGUUCCAGCACUGCAGCAGCAGCAGGCAAAUCAUCAUCAAAUCGCUGAAGACACUCACCCGGGCCACGAACACAGCGGCUCCGUGGCAAGAGGAUCGAUGGGCUCUACCUACCUCCCCGAUGUUGGGGCACUGGGCCUCGACGCAGACGGUGUUGAGCUUGAGCUCGCCGAGCGACUCCCUGAGCCGGGCGUACUUGUCCCCCUGCGCCGCCCGCUGCCGCAGCCACGCCGGCUUCCUCGCGUCCGGGUCCCUCCCCGUGAACGGCGUCGGCGGGGCCCAUCCAGAUGCCAACGACGACGACGCGGGCUCGCCGUGGCACCUCACCGCCGGCGCCGGCCGGGGCCGGGCGAGGAGCCUCGCGCCCGCGGAGCCCCGCGCCGAGGGGGGCGGAAGCGGGGGCGGAGGCCGGGCGAGCGAGCUCUGCAUUGUGGCGCGCGGAGGGAUCGAGGCGGGUUGAAUUGAACCCUAGGGCGCCAUCGCUGCCGCUGUGUAGCGCGGCGCGGGGGCGAUGGUUCCGAAGCGGGGGGCGAGAGAGCUUCUGGCAGUUACGGAUUUGCCCCUGAGAUCUGGUGGACUGCACGGGGCGAUGGGGAGGGUAGGAUGGGUAUUUCGCGGGAAGACGGCGGUCGCACCAAAGCCAGCCUCGCCGUGUUUUUAACUGAUGAACACAGGCUGAGACGCUGAGUACUGGUUGGUAAGCAGUUUUUGACCUUGAGUGGUGGUUGGUGCGAUGGUGCCAACGCCUUGCCGCGUUGGACGAACGGCGCGGCGGGUAGGGAGAAGGCGACGGCGGCUCUGCGCCGAGCUCCCAGGGAGCUCGCCGGCCGGACUGGAGGAAGACGGUUUCAGUGACGGUGAGAAAAUCCGACUGCAGUUCCUGUGAGUAGUAGUCUGCUGUUGCUGUCAAAGUUCAUGCGAUCUUCAGUCAUUUGCUCUGCUUGCACAUGAUAACAGCGUGCCAAAUUCACCUGUAUGUACAAAUUUCCAGGAACAAAAGCCCGAUUUUGUAGAGCGAAGUGAAUGAGCAUAACGCUAAAUGAAAAAAUGAUGCAACAACACGAAAUGAGAGAAGACGCAAAUCAUAACCAAGCUUACAAAUAAGAGACCUCACACACAUCUCAUAUCUCACCAAUGCAUAUGGAUAGACCAAACUGAGCUUCAACACUGCCACCACUCACACAAAGAUCCCCCACACGUCCACCACCAAGAAGCAACCACAAGAUAGUUUAUAGAAACUCUACUUGCACAGCCAUUGCCACCCCCCACCACCUUGUUUUUCACCGGGAGAAAAUAAGGGUUAAAACUAGGUUCCAUCUGGUCCAUCACUGCACAGUUACAACACAGGGUACAUACAUGGACAAUCUGUCAUGGAUAUAGCCAUCAGGCGGGUAUUAUACACCCACAUGAAGGAGAAUGCUGGUUCUAUUAAAUUAACCUCCACCCUAGUCACAGCCUCAGGAACGCUAACUUCGACACGGAGCCAACGGAACUUCUCCAAGCUCACACAUCUUGCGAAACAGGAAGCAUGUCUAUCCCAAUUCUGCAAUCACCAUCUGAAAGACAAGCAGCACAUAUAGUUUUAA